UAGGGAAUCUUCGGCAAUGGGGGGAACCCUGACCGAGCAACGCCGCGUGAGUGAAGAAGGUUUUCGGAUCGUAAAGCUCUGUUGUUAAGGAAGAACGAGUGUGAGAAUGGAAAGUUCAUACUGUGACGGUACUUAACCAGAAAGGGACGGCUAACUACGUGCCAGCAGCCGCGGUAAUACGUAGGUCCCGAGCGUUGUCCGGAUUUAUUGGGCGUAAAGCGAGCGCAGGCGGUUAGAUAAGUCUGAAGUUAAAGGCAGUGGCUCAACCAUUGUAGGCUUUGGAAACUGUUUAACUUGAGUGCAGAAGGGGAGAGUAAAAUUCCAUGUGUAGCGGUGAAAUGCGUAGAUAUAUGGAGGAACACCGGUGGCGAAAGCGGCUCUCUGGUCUGUAACUGACGCUGAGGCUCGAAAGCGUGGGGAGCGAACAGG
rnacentral:rRNA from 1 species